GUCCUACGGGGGGCAGCAGUGAGGAAUAUUGGUCAAUGGCCGGAAGGCUGAACCAGCCAAGCCGCGUGAGGGAGGAAGGCGCAGAGCGUCGCAGACCUCUUUUGCCGGGGGACAAAAGGCCGGACUCGUCCGGUCCUGAGGGUACCCGGAGAAAAAGCAUCGGCUAACUCCGUGCCAGCAGCCGCGGUAAUACGGAGGAUGCGAGCGUUAUCCGGAUUUAUUGGGUUUAAAGGGUGCGCAGGCGGAUUUUUAAGUCAGCGGUCAAAUCGUGGGGCUCAACCCCAUCCAGCCGUUGAAACUGGGGG
rnacentral:rRNA from 1 species